AACGGAGGCGCUCAAAGGUUCCCUCAGAAUGGUUGGAAAUCAUUCAUAGAGUGUAAAGGCAUAAGGGAGCUUGACUGCGAGACCUACAAGUCGAGCAGGGUCGAAAGACGGACUUAGUGAUCCGGUGGUUCCGCAUGGAAGGGCCAUCGCUCAACGGAUAAAAGCUACCCCGGGGAUAACAGGCUUAUCUCCCCCAAGAGUUCACAUCGACGGGGAGGUUUGGCACCUCGAUGUCGGCUCAUCGCAUCCUGGGCCUGUAGUCGGUCCCAAGGGUUGGGCUGUUCGCCCAUUAAAGCGGUACGCGAGCUGGGUUCAGAACGUCGUGAGACAGUUCGGUCCCUAUCCGUCGUGGGCGUAGGAAAUUUGAGAGGAGCUGUCCUUAGUACGAGAGGACCGGGAUGGACAUACCUCUGGUGUACCAGUUGUCGUGCCAACGGCAUAGCUGGGUAGCUAUGUAUGGACGGGAUAAGUGCUGAAAGCAUCUAAGCAUGAAGCCCCCCUCAAGAUGAGAUUUCCCAACUUCGGUUAUAAGAUCCCUCGAAGAUGACGAGGUUAAUAGGUUCGAGGUGGAAGCGUGGUGACACGUGGAGCUGACGAAUACUAAUCGAUCGAAGACUUAAUCAAUUU
rnacentral:rRNA from 1 species